CAUGUCCCAACCUUCUAUGCUACAAAGUUGAGUCAUCUUUGGUGGUAAAUCCAACAUCUCUAGCAAUAGUCUUUGUUGGGUAUCUUCGCCUAGCCGGAGGUUCACCUCUUGGUUCCCGACCGUCCUGCCGCCUUCACUCGGCACUCUAGUGCCUAUAUUCACUUCGAGUUUCUUCCUCUUGUUCUUCUUCUUCUGCUCCUUAUUACUCUUCA
rnacentral:lncRNA from 1 species